rnacentral:rRNA from 1 species
UACGUAGGGGGCAAGCGUUAUCCGGAUUUACUGGGUGUAAAGGGAGCGUAGACGGCAUGGUAAGUCUGAUGUGAAAACCCGGGGCUCAACCGCGGGAUUGCAUUGGAAACUGCUGUGCUCGAGUGCUGGAGGGGCAGGCGGAAUUCCUGGUGUAGCGGUGAAAUGCGUAGAUAUCAGGAAGAACACCGGUGGCGAAGGCGGCCUGCUGGACAGUAACUGACGUUGAGGCUCGAAAGCGUGGGGAGCAAAC